CCCCGCAGGCAGCCGGGCGGCGUGGCGGGGCCUGGAAGUUUUUCUAGGAAAGCCAUGAAUUGCACUCCACUGCCAGAAGCGCUUAUGUAAACGCAGGGUUUAACGUGGUGUUCUUACUUGGGGGUUUUUUGGUAGCGCAUCGCGGUUGGCAAUGGCACCUGGCGCUGGGGAUCCUGCCCCGCGCCGUGCGGGGCUCGGUGUGGCUUGACGCCUGCACCCGGGCCCGUUACUGCGUCCGCCCUGUAAUUUUAUUUAAUGAAGUGCAGCCUCUACACUAAUAAUGCAGUGUCCUACCUGGGUGCUGUCCAUUUUUAGAACUGAAAUCCCAUUUAUCGUAUCGCAGCCUAACGACUGGGACACAGCAGGUUUCACCUGCCCAAGCUUCAUCUUGCAAGCAGAUGGGACCCCUCGACUCCAUAAAGCCUGGAUGAAAGCAGGAACUACAAACACCGUCUUCCCAUCCAUCUGCUGAGCAGCGACAACGUGCUGAACUGAAGUAAUCUGGCUGAAGGUUUUCGUGGUCUCAUGUUCUCCAAAUGUGCAAUCGGGACUCCGGGGUGCCAGGCUCUCCUUUUUAACAUCGUGAUGUACGCGACUGGGUGAUUACCCAAGUAUACGUUCUGCUCUGCUAAAUCUACCCACUGCAUUCUGGCAGAUUUAUGCUGUAAUAAUUCUACCCCAUCCAUUUUGUUCUGGUUUCCCUUUAUGAAGGCAAACACCCCACGGAACUGCACAAAGGCCUCACUUUCCGUGAUGAGCUUUAGACUUUGUAGUUCUGUUGCCCAAAUACGCAGCUGGGCUCAGUUACCACGGCCACUUCCAGAGCAUAUGGGAGGGAGGUUCUCUCUUUCAGAGGUUUCCAAGAACAGAUGUUGGGUAACACAGGGCAGUUGAGCAGGUUAUGGUUUACGGCAGGUUGUUCAGCGAGUGAGCUGAGCUUAGAGAGUUGGCUUUGCCUUGGGCCGGGAGAGGCACUUUUAAACAAUAACCGUUGUUAUGUUUCCUUUGAAACAAUAACUGUUGUUAAGUCUCCUAGUAGUGAGAAAGAUGGGACAAAGCUUUUGGAUCUAGACCUGGACCAGGUCUUGGUUCAUCCAUGUGUUUGAAUAAAAGCGUGCCUUCAGAGUGCAGAUGUUCUGUGGCUUUGCCAUCCCAACUACUGGAAAGUCUUCUCAUGGCCAUAUUUAUCGGGGCGAGACUGAAGGCCCAGUGAGAUACCAGUAGUACAUCAGGAGGAAUUAGAUGACUGGCUUCAGAAAAGCAAGUUCAAGCCUGGUCCACCUCGCAGUCGAAGAGCCGGAACGAAACUUGCCACACAUGGCAGCGUGUAAAUAAAAUGCCAGCAAACUAGGAAAA